CCUACGGGGGGCAGCAGUAGGGAAUAUUGCUCAAUGGGCGAAACCCUGAAGCAGCAACGCCGCGUGGAGGAUGAAGGUUUUCGGAUUGUAAACUCCUUUUGUUAGAGAAGAUAAUGACGGUAUCUAACGAAUAAGCACCGGCUAACUCCGUGCCAGCAGCCGCGGGCAUACGGAGGGUGCAAGCGUUACUCGGAAUCACUGGGCGUAAAGAGCGCGUAGGCGGGAUAGCAAGUCAGAUGUGAAAUCCUAUGGCUUAACCAUAGAACUGCAUUUGAAACUGUUAUUCUAGAGUAUGGGAGAGGUAGGUGGAAUUCGUGGUGUAGGGGUAAAAUGCGUAGAGAUCAAGAGGAAUACUGAUUGCGAAGGCGACCUGCUAGAACAUAACUGACGCUGAUGCGCGAAAGCGUGGGGAGCAAACAGGAUUAGAUACCCCGGUAGUC
rnacentral:rRNA from 1 species